UGUUCUGGGCGGGCUGUGUGGGAGGGGGCAACCCCUGCCGGUUCCUAAUGCCCGGUUCGCUAACCCGCACAGUCCCGCCCACCCUG
rnacentral:antisense_RNA from 1 species